rnacentral:rRNA from 1 species
CCUACGGGGAGCAGCAGUCGAGAAUUAUUCACAAUGGGGGAAACCCUGAUGGUGCGACGCCGCGUGGGGGAAUGAAGGUCUUCGGAUUGUAAACCCCUGUCAUGUGGGAGCAAAUUAAAAAGAUAGUACCACAAGAGGAAGAGACGGCUAACUCUGUGCCAGCAGCCGCGGUAAUACAGAGGUCUCAAGCGUUGUUCGGAAUCACUGGGCGUAAGGCGUGCGUAGGCUGUUUCGUAAGUCGUGUGUGAAAGGCGCGGGCUCAACCCGCGGACGGCACAUGAUACUGCGAGACUAGAGUAAUGGAGGGGGAACCGGAAUUCUCGGUGUAGCAGUGAAAUGCGUAGAUAUCGAGAGGAACACUCGUGGCGAAGGCGGGUUCCUGGACAUUAACUGACGCUGAGGCACGAAGGCCAGGGGAGCGAAAGGGAUUAGAUACCCUAGUAGUC